rnacentral:lncRNA from 1 species
CAUUUCAUUAAUAUAUCAUAUCAAAGCUCAACAACUGAUCAAAAAAAGAUCACAUCUUGAGCACAACCCAAUGGAGAUAACUAAAAUUUUCAUUCUCACCUUCAACGAAAUCGAAACCACAGCGAUCCAAAUAAGCAAUUCAAAUCAAUUUAAUAAGCAUUGUCUAAUAAACCCAAAAGCUAAUUACAUAUAAAUUUACUAUUGUAUCAAGAUUAAACCUAAAUAGCUUAGAAUUACUAAGAAUCCAAAUAACCAACAAUUCAAACUCAAGCAAAUACCAAAAAAUAUUACAUUUUGAGCAAACCACAACCUCGCCUUGGAUGAAACCGAGAUGACGUAGGUGUGCAAUCCCCUGUAAGCGCAGCAUUUCAGCGAUGCCACGCCAUUGUUAUCCACCUGCUUCGGCCUGAAACAAAUUCUAAGGCUCCCAAAACUGAUGGCGACGCGAUGGCUAUGAUUAAUCUACAUACAUGGCAAAUUACUGCAAUAAAAUUAUAAAUCAAUGAGAAAAUAUCAAAACUUUAAUAUAAAAAAAUUUCAAUAUUUUAUAGGCCAUUUUGAAAUAAGCCCCUUAACUUUUGCCUUUAUCGAUAGAAUUAAAAUUUGUUAAAAAUAGUUGUUUUGUUAAAUUUAACUAUUAUAAACACUUUUUUUAAAGAAAGGUCUAGAGCACUUUUUAACUUCAAAAUAGGUAUAGUUGGAGUCUAUUUUAAAAUGGUCUAUAUUUAAGGGAGGUUUUCAUUACUUCUCUUCUCUUUCUCAAAAAAAAAAGAAGAAAAUCCUAAGGAGAGGGAAGAAGACGACAGAAGAGCCUUGAAGAGCAAAGGAGUAAUUUCUUAAUAAAAAGAUAGACAUUCCAUCUCUUCAAAUCAUUGCUUUACUUAUGGAGGAGAAUAUAAUGCUUCACAAUUAAUUAGAAAAGAUCUUAAAUGGUCCUUCCAUUAUUCAAAAAAAAAAAUCUUAAAUGGCCUUGAAAAAUCUAUGUUCUUAAGGAAAGCAUGGCAUAUUCCCUUGACCUAAUACAAACUCUUCUUCCAAUAUGAAGUAUUCUUACAGAGGCAUUUAAUUGAUUAGGAUUUUAAAAAAACUGUCCAGAGAGGUAAAAUUAAGAUAUCAUAAAUUACUAUUGACAUGUUAGUAUUGUUGUAUUGGAUCUAUUUAAGUCGAUAAAAAAAUGGGAUAAAAAGCAACUCAAAAAGGGGGCGAAAAAUUUCUUAGAAAUUAUAUCGAGAAAUUAACAGAGCGAGGAAAGGAAUCGAUUUCAUGGUUGGGGAGCUCGGGAUCGCCUCCAAUUGCACCGCAGAUCUCCGAAAUUGCUUCAAUUCAAGGGUUCGAAGAGGGGAUUUAGGAAAACAUGGAGUAGGAUUUGGGGAAUAGGGAGUGGGAUUUAGGGAAACAACGGAAAUAGUAGGGCUCGGCAAAGAGAGAGAGAGCGCGGGAGAGAGAGUAGAGUGCCCAGGGAGCGAGUACCUCUUAGGGGGCGUUUGGAUUGACGUAUUUGUAGAUUCAACGUAAGUCAAGUGUAGUGGUGUUUGAGCUUUUCUGAAGUGUGAUUAAUUUUUUGUUGUUUAUUUUGACGUAACUCGUACCGUCUGAAAGUUAAAUUCAAUCACUUCUGUUGUUUGUUUUGAUGUAACUUGGUACUGGUAAAAUUAGUUUUUUGAGUUCCGUUGUUUGUUUUGAUGUAAGUAAGUGGAUCUCAUUAUCUCCUAAAUAUAGUAAUAAAUUUACCACUAUAAAAUUUAAUCUAUUAUAUAAUUAAUUUUUUUUAUUAUUUAAAGAUAAUCCUAAUUUAUUAUAAAUAAGAUAAUUCUAACCCAUUAUAAAGGAAGUAGAGUUUAGGUUUUACUGUUUAAUAAAUUUUUUAGAGGAGGUUGAGUGUAGUGAAAGUCGAGUUCGGCACUUUAGAGGAGGAAGUCGAGAGUAGGUGAAGUGGAGCUCUAACGUAACUUGAGUUACAUUAUAUUUUUCACUUACAUCAAAACAAAUAACGGAAGUGAUGGAACUUGAGUUCCAUCACUCCACGUACACCAAAACAAACGGGCCCUUAGCGGCGCGUAGGAGGCGGAGGCGGAGGCGCGAUACAGACGCAUAGGAG